AGUGAACGCUGGCGGUAGGCCUAACACAUGCAAGUCGAACGGCAGCACAGGAGAGCUUGCUCUCUGGGUGGCGAGUGGCGGACGGGUGAGGAAUACAUCGGAAUCUACUCUGUCGUGGGGGAUAACGUAGGGAAACUUACGCUAAUACCGCAUACGACCUACGGGUGAAAGUGGGGGACCGCAAGGCCUCACGCGAUUGAAUGAGCCGAUGUCGGAUUAGCUAGUUGGCGGGGUAAAGGCCCACCAAGGCGACGAUCCGUAGCUGGUCUGAGAGGAUGAUCAGCCACACUGGAACUGAGACACGGUCCAG
rnacentral:rRNA from 1 species